rnacentral:tRNA from 1 species
UUAAAUGAAAGCCAAAAAGAGGCACUUAUCUGUUAAUUAAGUAAAUGUGAUAAUCACUCAUUUAGGUCUAA